GGGCUAGUCAACCACAAAUUUUUCCCACUGAGACCAGUGGCAGAUUCAGAAUCUACAACACAUUUCUGUAACUGUAAUACUAGUAAGUGGGUGUUAGCACGAGCCAAACAUAAAUUUGCCAUCGCUAGGUAUGGAGGACCUCCCUCAGGGCUUGUAGGCAGCUGGCAUCACAUUCAAACCCAAGGCAGGCUUUGGUAUCAGGAGCUGUGGCCUACAGAGAAGGAGAGGUGAGUGCGGUAAGUAAAUGGUGGUAUGCGGCCUCGCGAGAACCCAAAGCCAGGCUUAGCCAUGACUCAGCUCUUUAAGCAAGUCUCCAGUGCCAGCCAAGUGCCAGUGAAUAAACGAAGAUAUAAAUCAAAAUCAACAUUAACCUAAUUUCCCCUCCACCCCCGCAGUUUGUAUAGGAUUAUGUAAUACAGACUUUGAGGAAGAAAAAUAGGAACCCAAAUCACCUGUUGUGUGUUGGUGUGGGCCUUCUUUGCUAUGAUAUUUCUUGGUUUAAAAGAACUCAGAGGGCAGAAGGCUCCUGUGGAACUUCCAUCUUCAGUGUUGCUGGAUUCUCUUCUUCCUCCAAUUUGGUUCUAAAGGAGGAAACUUUCCCUUCUCUGCGUCCCUCCCAAUCGUUUAGAAAGAAGCUCUCCUCCUUUUCCUUUGCCCACCUCUGCCCUGGCUCUGCCCACAGUUUCCCUGGCUCUAGUGUCUACUGCGAAGGCCCCUCAGGGCAACAGGUCUGUGCGGACCAUGGCUUGGGUGGGCUCCUGGUACACGCCCAGGUCCCACCCCCUGACUCACAAGCCUGAAUGGCUGCAACAGGGGAGUAGGUUAAAAAGAGCCAAUUCAAGGUCUCCCUUCUCCCACUCUGCUAAGUGCUUUAAAUCUAGGAUCUUACUCAUCACCAUAAUAAUUCUGUGAGGAUUCUUGCCUGGAUUCCCUCACGUCUUGGCCUGAUUUGCUCCUGCAGUCUUUCAGAAGGCACUGAUUGAAAGGAAUAAAUCUGUAAUAGUGGAGUUUCUGGCAGUGGAGCAGCUAUUUGGGGCCACACAACCCUUUUAAAUCUACCUAAUGAGAACGUCUGUUCCUAGAAGGUGCAUGGACUCAGGCUUUCUCAGCUAGGACGGUAUAUGCUGGAGAGUUCUGCAGGAGGAAUUAGGGAGCUCCAGCUGUAUCCCAGUCCUGUAGCUAACUCACAGGCAGGAAAGGCUCGGAGUAACUCCGAUUUCAAUGUCCUUAAUAAUCUGAGGGUAUUAAAGUUAGGGGAAGCUUUCAAGGGUUUCUAAUCCAACAUGGUAAAAAUCCUUAAUGUCAUCUGAAGUUUGUUAAUUCAUUCAUUUGCAAAUACUUAUUGAAUGCUUACUGUGUGUCUCUAUUUCCACUGAUCUGAUUCAUGAGGAAACAGACGCACCUCUGCUGUCAUUGCCUUGGCAAUCCUUCUCACUCUUCAAAUGAACUGGAUUUUUUAGUGAUUGAAUGAAAAACUGAACCCAGGCAAGUGAAACAGCUUCAACAUCCAUGUUAGUUUAGAAAUAGGCGUAAAACCAACUCACUUCCAACCGAAGUCCUCUGGAACAGCAGAGAAACCAUAGCAUGUUUCCUUGGGCUUUCUGGACUUGAAAAUCAUAAGAAAUCUGUCUUCUACCCAAAGUUUAGACCUUAAUUGACAUUUUUUUCCACCCAAAAAUGUCAGUUGUUAGAAGUAGAAGGGAACUUCCUCAGUGUGAUAGAAAAUAUCUAUGAAAAACCAUAGCUAAUAUAUUUAAUG
rnacentral:lncRNA from 1 species